rnacentral:tRNA from 1 species
GGUAGGAUAGCCAAAUGUUAGGCGGUGGGUUGUAGCCCCAAAAGCAAAGGUUAAAUUCCUUUUUCUGCCA